rnacentral:piRNA from 1 species
UAGUUUGUGGUUUUCACCUUGGUGGAUUGC